AAAACGGUUCCUGUGAGCUAUAUUUUUGAAAAUACACAGCCCGCCUCUCCCUUCAGCCCUCCCCUCAAAGCCACGCCUUCAAAACACAUGAACGCGCAUGCAGUCUGUCAAGUGUUCGGAUUAUCCCGGGAACCCACGAGAGCUCACGAGGGGGCGGGCUAGAAGCCACGACAAAUCGAUUAGCCAAGCUAACUUCCAGCCAUGGCACUGUCUCCGGCUACGACCUUCCACGACCACGAGAGCUCCAGCUCUGACUUUCCUGGCCCAUCACAAUCAUAACGACCUAACAGCCCAGUAGGACCGAUGGCCAGAGAUGGAGGAGGAGGAAGAUAGACGCAGCAGAGGUCGGGGGUAUUGAUUAGGGAGACUCCAACAGAAUUGACGCCCUGCUAACUGCCUUGAUUCAAUCAUUGAAUUUGAAGCAAUCCCAUCGGUUACUGCAGCGUGCCCUGACCCGUGACCCCAGUUUGAUGUUCGACCUGGCACAUGACAUCUGGUCCUCAGUCACAGCCCAGUAGCACAACCAACCUGGCGCCUCUGCGCAAUCUGUAAGGAGAUGCCCAUGAACAUUGAAAGGAAAUGCUGUGGUGUUCUCAGUUUUGAUAAGACUUUGGGCUGAUGUAGGACCAGGUGAGAGAAACGGUCUCUUCAGGCAUGCAGCCUACAGACAGUAUGGGGCACUUGAACAGGGCUGACGUUGUAAUACACAGUACAAUACCCAGGAUUAGCCAGGGUUACCCUGCUCCACUAGAGCAAUAUAAAAAGGUUUAUACAGAGUACGGUAUAAAACACACAAACCGGCAGUGUGCAGAGUUUUAUUAUUUUUCAUUAUCUGUAGGAGCAUUCAUCUGUACAUCUCACCUUUUUGGUUUGGAACCAUAUUUGUCUUGUUACCAUUGUUUUUUUCAUACAUAGAAAAUAAAUGCAACCUGUCAAAUAAUCUUCUGAUUGUGGUCUUG